CCCUUAGAUGUUCUGGGCGGCCCGCGCACUACAAUGGCGUGUGCAGCGAGUGCCGAAGUGGAGUUUUCCGAGGUAUUCUUGCAAUGCUCGUUUUGAUGGGGAUAGACCCUUGCAACUGUUGGUUUUGAACGAGGAAUUCCUUGUAAGCAUGGUUUAUCAUCCGACGCUGAAUGCGUCCCUGCCCUUUGUACACACCGCCCGUCGCUCCUACCGAUGAGUCGUCCGGUGAAGUUCGUAGACCUCGUGAUCGCGGAUCACUGGGGGAAGCAAAAUGAACCUCGCGGUUUAGAGGAAGGAGAAGUCGUAACA
rnacentral:rRNA from 1 species